GGCGGGGUAGUGUAAUGGUAACAUGUCUGACUUUGCAUCAGAAGCUAAAGGUUCGAUUCCUUUCCCCGCAACCA
rnacentral:tRNA from 1 species